AUAAAUCAAAACUUUCAACAACGGAUCUCUUGGUUCUGGCAUCGAUGAAGAACGCAGCGAAAUGCGAUAAGUAAUGUGAAUUGCAGAAUUCAGUGAAUCAUCGAAUCUUUGAACGCACAUUGCGCCCGCCAGUAUUCUGGCGGGCAUGCCUGUUCGA
rnacentral:rRNA from 2 species